rnacentral:rRNA from 1 species
GACGAACGCUGGCGGCGUGCUUAACACAUGCAAGUCGAACGGAAAGGCCCUGCUUUUGUGGGGUGCUCGAGUGGCGAACGGGUGAGUAACACGUGAGUAACCUGCCCUUGACUUUGGGAUAACUUCAGGAAACUGGGGCUAAUACCGGAUAGGAGCUCCUGCUGCAUGGUGGGGGUUGGAAAGUUUCGGCGGUUGGGGAUGGACUCGCGGCUUAUCAGCUUGUUGGUGGGGUAGUGGCUUACCAAGGCUUUGACGGGUAGCCGGCCUGAGAGGGUGACCGGCCACAUUGGGACUGAGAUACGGCCCGAACUCCUACGGGAGGCAGCAGUGGGGAAUAUUGCACAAUGGGCGGAAGCCUGAUGCAGCAACGCCGCGUGCGGGAUGACGGCCUUCGGGUUGUAAACCGCUUUCGCCUGUGACGAAGCGUGAGUGACGGUAAUGGGUAAAGAAGCACCGGCUAACUACGUG